GAGUUUGAUCCUGGCUCAGGACGAACGCUGGCGGCGUGCCUAACACAUGCAAGUCGAACGAAGCUUGACGAUAGAUUUCUUCGGAAUGAAAUCAGAUAUGACUGAGUGGCGGACGGGUGAGUAACGCGUGAGCAACCUGCCCCUUGGAACGGGAUAGCGUCUGGAAACGGACGGUAAUACCGUAUAAAAUAUUUUGAUGGCAUCAUUGAAAUAUCAAAACUCCGGUGCCAAGGGAUGGGCUCGCGUCUGAUUAGAUAGUUGGUGGGGUAACGGCCUACCAAGUCGACGAUCAGUAGCCGGACUGAGAGGUUGAACGGCCACAUUGGGACUGAGACACGGCCCAGACUCCUACGGGAGGCAGCAGUGGGGAAUAUUGCACAAUGGGGGAAACCCUGAUGCAGCAACGCCGCGUGAAGGAAGACGGUUUUCGGAUUGUAAACUUCUGUUCUUAGUGAAGAAACAUGACGGUAGCUAAGGAGCAAGCCACGGCUAACUACGUGCCAGCAGCCGCGGUAAUACGUAGGUGGCAAGCGUUGUCCGGAAUUACUGGGUGUAAAGGGAGCGUAGGCGGGAAGCCAAGUCAGCUGUGAAAACUACGGGCUUAACUUGUAGACUGCAGUUGAAACUGGUUUUCUUGAGUGAAGU
rnacentral:rRNA from 1 species